GAGACAUUAGUAAAUAUGGAUAUUACAUCACUUUGUCAAGGUGAAGUUGCAGGUUAAACUCCUGCAUGUCUUA
rnacentral:tRNA from 1 species